rnacentral:rRNA from 1 species
AACGAACGCUGGCGGCAUGCCUAACACAUGCAAGUCGAACGAGACCUUCGGGUCUAGUGGCGCACGGGUGCGUAACGCGUGGUAACCUGCCCUUAGGUUCGGAAUAACUCCCCGAAAGGGGUGCUAAUACCGGAUAAUGUCUUCGGCCCAAAGAUUUAUCGCCUUUGGAUGGGCCCGCGUUGGAUUAGCUAGUUGGUAGGGUAAAAGCCUACCAAGGCGACGAUCCAUAGCUGGUCUGAGAGGAUGAUCAGCCACACUGGGACUGAGACACGGCCCAGACUCCUACGGGAGGCAGCAGUGGGGAAUAUUGGACAAUGGGCGAAAGGCUGAUGCAGCAAGGCCGCGUGAGUGAUGAAGGCCUGAGGGUUGUAAAGCUCUUUUACCCGGGAUGAUAAUGACAGUACCGGGAGAAUAAGCUCCGGCUAACUCCGUG